UUCUAUGGCCAUGCCAUCCUGAACAAUCCUGAUGUUUGAUCUCGGGAGCUAAGCAGGGUCAGGCCAGUUAGUACUUGGAUGGGAGACCACCUAGGAAGACCAAGUGCUGUAGGAA
rnacentral:rRNA from 1 species